rnacentral:tRNA from 1 species
GCGGAUGUGGCGAAAUUGGUAUACGCACUGGUUUUAGGUACCAGCGCCGAAAGGUUUGAUGGUUCGAGUCCAUCCAUCCGCA